UACGUAGGGGGCGAGCGUUAAUCGGAAUUACUGGGCGUAAAGCGUGCGCAGGCGGUUUUGUAAGCCAGAUGUGAAAGCCCCGGGCUCAACCUGGGAAUGGCAUUUGGGACUGCAAGGCUGGAGUAUGGCAGAGGAGACUAGAAUUCCUGGUGUAGCAGUGAAAUGCGUAGAUAUCAGGAGGAAUACCGAUGGCGAAGGCAGGUCUCUGGGCCAAUACUGACGCUCAUGCACGAAAGCGUGGGGAGCAAACAGG
rnacentral:rRNA from 1 species